rnacentral:rRNA from 1 species
AAUAGAUACCCCGGUAGUCCACGCCGUAAACGAUGAGUGCUAGGUGUCGGGUGUCAAAGCUCGGUGCCGGAGCUAACGCAUUAAGCACUCCGCCUGGGGAGUACGUACGCAAGUAUGAAACUCAAAGGAAUUGACGGGGACCCGCACAAGCAGCGGAGCAUGUGGUUUAAUUCGAAGCAACGCGAAGAACCUUACCAGGGCUUGACAUGCCCCUGACCGAUGUAGAGAUACAUCUUUAUCCUUCGGGAUACAAGGGGACACAGGUGGGUAGACGAUGGUUGUCGUCAGCUCGUGUCGUGAGAUGUUGGGUUAAGUCCCGCAACGAGCGCAACCCUUGCCUUUAGUUGCCAGCAUUAAGUUGGGCACUCUAAAGGGACUGCCGAUGAGAAAUCGGAGGAAGGUGGGGAUGACGUCAAAUCAUCAUGCCCUUUAUGUCCUGGGCUACACACGUGCUACAAUGGUCGGUACAACGAGCAGCAACCUAGUGAUGGGAAGCGAAUCUCAAAAACGCCGAUCCCAGUUCGGAUUGC